UAGCUCAGUUGGUAGAGCAUGGUGUUUGCAACGCCAGGGUUGUGGGUUCGAAUCCCAC
rfam:Salmo salar isolate Sally breed double haploid chromosome ssa18, whole genome shotgun sequence.